GAUGAACGCUGGCGGCGUGCCUAAUACAUGCAAGUCGAGCGAAUGGAUUAAGAGCUUGCUCUUAUGAAGUUAGCGGCGGACGGGUGAGUAACACGUGGGUAACCUGCCCAUAAGACUGGGAUAACUCCGGGAAACCGGGGCGAAUACCGGAUAACAUUUUGAACCGCAUGGUUCGAAAUUGAAAGGCGGCUUCGGCUGUCACUUAUGGAUGGACCCGCGUCGCAUUAGCUAGUUGGUGAGGUAACGGCUCACCAAGGCAACGAUGCGUAGCCGACCUGAGAGGGUGAUCGGCCACACUGGGACUGAGACACGGCCCAGACUCCUACGGGAGGCAGCAGUAGGGAAUCUUCCGCAAUGGACGAAAGUCUGACGGAGCAACGCCGCGUGAGUGAUGAAGGCUUUCGGGUCGUAAAACUCUGUUGUUAGGGAAGAACAAGUGCUAGUUGAAUAAGCUGGCACCUUGACGGUACCUAACCAGAAAGCCACGGCUAACUACGUG
rnacentral:rRNA from 1 species